UACGGGGGGGGCAAGCGUUGUUCGGAAUUACUGGGCGUAAAGGGCUCGUAGGUGGCCAACUAAGUCAGACGUGAAAUCCCUCAGCUUAACUGGGGAACUGCGUCUGAUACUGGAUGGCUUGAGUUUGGGAGAGGGAUGCGGAAUUCCAGGUGUAGCGGUGAAAUGCGUAGAUAUCUGGAGGAACACCUGAGGUGAAGACGGGUUGCUGGGCUGACACUGACGCUGAGGCGCGAAAGCUAGGGUAGCAAACGGG
rnacentral:rRNA from 1 species